rnacentral:snRNA from 1 species
AGAACAGAAGGUAACCUGGCUGUGACAUCUGUAAUGCCUCUGACCACCAGGACUGACUCAAGCGAUCUGGCUAGCUAGGAGGGUGUACCCUGAUUUCUUCACUGCUCUAUGUGCGACCCUCCAAGCUGGAGCUGAAGAGAACAACCUCUACCACCAGAGGACUUUCUUCAGCCAAGGCUAUAUGUGCAGCUGGGUUCCCCUGCUACAGGCUCAAAGAGAAGCUCCCAAAAUUUUAGUAUUUGUACUAGAAAU